UACGAAGGGGGCUAGCGUUGUUCGAAAUUACUGGGCGUAAAGGGCGCGUAGGCGGCGUGUCAAGUCAGGCGUGAAAGCCCCGGGCUCAACCUGGGAACCGCGCUUGAGACUGGCAUGCUCGAGUUCGGGAGAGGAUGGUGGAAUUCCCAGUGUAGAGGUGAAAUUCGUAGAUAUUGGGAAGAACACCGAUGGCGAAGGCAGCCAUCUGGACCGACACUGACGCUGAGGCGCGAAAGCGUGGGGAGCAAACAGG
rnacentral:rRNA from 1 species